AGACUGAAAAUUCAGCCAAUCACGUUGCAGCAUUUCCUCCACGUCAGACAAUAGAAUCGCGGUUUGGGCUUUUGUGGUCUUUGGUUUUGUAGUUUGGGUUCCAUGCUCUGCACCGAUGAUCGAUUUGUUCUUCACAAACAAACGAUCGAUGGUCAAUUGACUUUCACGAUGUGGAGUGAAACGAAUCGUCAUGGAAAAUCUCUGAGUUAAAUUUCUAUUGCGUCGUUUUGUAUUUCCUUUAAUUAAUGUAAAUGUCUUCAUCUUCUAUAUUUUCUCUCUCAGACCUGCAAACUCUGCAACAAUGGAUUCCACGGACUCUCAUAUCCUCCCAAUCUCCACUUCCCAAACCGUUCCCUCCGCCGCUCCUUCUUUCGUAGAAUCUCAACCACAUCGUAACCCAUGUGUUCUCGCCUUCAUCAACCGAGUUUCAGAAACUGUCACAAUCGGAUCUUUGUGCUUUUUCUCACUGAUGUUGGAUCUUUUGUCUCGGCUGUUAUGGUCGGAGUCGGUCUUCCUUUUGUUUUUUCUUCAUCUUUUGUUUAUUUUUAAGUUUAAGAGUCAGAAAAUCUCAUUUUGGUUAAUUUUUGCUUGAUUCCUGGAUUGCUGAUAUAAGCUGUGAAUUGAAAUUUAGGGUUAGCUUUCCUGAAAAUAUAUGGAUUCGUUAGAUAGUUUUUUGUUCCUCUAUUGAAGAAUAGCAUGGCUGUAUAUGUUUAUUGACAACAUAUGCUACUGUUUUAGGUUCCCUUUGGUAAAAUUGUCCGAUGUAGGAGUGUUCGGGUAACGAUCAAUGAUCUCUAUCUUUUCGAUCCUCAUUGUUUAACCUAACUGGAUAUUUUGUUUCAUGCCCUAAUUGUGUAUAGCAAUAUGUGCUUUAAAAGAAGUCACUUGCAGUGGAAGUUUGAGCUCAGGCUGGAUGCAAAUUUAAUGAAAUAAGAUAUAUAUUUUUCUCUGCAGGGAAAGAGUUUGUUUACCUCGUGAAAAAAAAAACAAAUGAUCGGUUGACCGGAUGGGUUCUGCAUCGACGGUUCUACACUGGGUGCAUGAGAAUCUGAGCAAGAUAGAUGAAAAGAGUCUCUCUUUCUGCAGCCGGAGAUGGUUGUAUUGCAAAGGUAACUUCCACCAAGGAAGCCCAUUUAUUCAUUCAUAUAGAGAAAAAAAAAUUUCAUAGGCUACAUCUUUGACCUUAUGAGUCAAACUGUGUACUUCUCAAUCCUAGAUGAUAGAAAAAUGAAGAACCCAAAGUAGCAAGGAAGGUGCGUGUCCAACUUUUUAGUAACCUUUUUCUUAAAGACAUGAGAUACAUUUUGACAUAGAUUGCAAGAACAGAUGUUGAGCUACAAGAACACUUCAACACUGACUCUGUCUUUACUCUUGCUCAUCAAAAAAUUCCUUCCAGUACUCCGAUUCUCUUUAUAAGAACAGAGUUUUGGCUACCUGGCUCAGGGCCUGAUUUCGGUGUGCCGCCUUUCUCCGGUAUCAUUGCUAUUAUCCUUUUAAAAAUUUUAUUAGCUCUUCAAGCUUUGUUAGAAACCAACAUGAUCAAAAUCAACCAACCGUGACCAGGAACCAGUUUUUGGCAUCAGCUUAUUUCAAACCCUGAAACUGCAAAGUUUUCUUUUGUCUUGGACUAAUAUUUUCAUGUAAUGACAGUCUUAGCAAUGUGGAUUGCAGCUGCGCUUUGGGAACUUUAAGUUUGUGUAAAGAUCAAGAAGUUGCUUAACUCUAAGCCAAAGCUAAUCUUAAAUUACACUAGCAAAGCCAAGGCUAUCACUUCUCAUUUAGUCCUCUUUUCAGUUUUCAUAUGUAGUGGUUUCGAAGAGAUCAGUGUAUUCAUCUUCUAAGCUGGGAAAAGACUUAUACAAGCUGAACUAAAGAAGUAUGUUCCUCUUAUAGCUCCAGAGGUUUUGAAUGCUUAAGAUAAGGAUGAAAAGAUCUAUGAAGAUGCAUGUGUCUAUGAGCAAGGUUUCCAUGAUAUAUACCAUAGUACGGCUGAGGACAUGAGCCAAGCCAUGAACAAAUAAAUCAUUCUUGAACUGAUGAAACUCUCUUUUUGUUUCUUUUAAACAACUUAUCCUUUUCUCAUUUGGAUAGAAAAUAUAUUUUCUCAGCUAA